CCUACGGGAGGCUGCAGUGAGGAAUAUUGGUCAAUGGGCGGAAGCCUGAACCAGCCAAGUAGCGUGCAGGAUGACGGCCCUACGGGUUGUAAACUGCUUUUAUACGGGAAUAACGCGCCUUACGUGUAGGGCUUUGCAUGUACCGUAUGAAUAAGGACCGGCUAAUUCCGUGCAAGCAGCCGCGGUAAUACGGAAGGUCCGGGCGUUUUCCGGAUUUAUGGGGGUUAAAGGGGGCGUAGGCCGCAUGUCAAGCGUGCUGUGAAAUGUCGGGGCUCAACCCGGGCCUUGCAGCGCGAACUGGCGUGCUUGAGUCCGCGGAAAGCAGGCGGAAUUCGUCGUGUAGCGGUGAAAUGCUUAGAUAUGACGAAGAACCCCGAUUGCGAAGGCAGCUUGCUGCAGCGGAACUGACGCUGAUGCUCGAAAGCGCGGGUAUCGAACAGGAUUAGAUACCCGAGUAGUC
rnacentral:rRNA from 1 species